GAUGAACGCUGGCGGCGUGCUUAACACAUGCAAGUCGACCGAUGAUCUCCAGCUUGCUGGGGGGAUUAGUGGCGAACGGGUGAGUAACACGUGAGUAACCUGCCCUUGACUCUGGGAUAAGCCUGGGAAACUGGGUCUAAUACCGGAUACGACUGCUCCGCGCAUGCGGUGGUGGUGGAAAGCUUUUGCGGUUUUGGAUGGACUCGCGGCCUAUCAGCUUGUUGGUGGGGUAAUGGCCUACCAAGGCGACGACGGGUAGCCGGCCUGAGAGGGUGACCGGCCACACUGGGACUGAGACACGGCCCAGACUCCUACGGGAGGCAGCAGUGGGGAAUAUUGCACAAUGGGCGAAAGCCUGAUGCAGCGACGCCGCGUGAGGGAUGACGGCCUUCGGGUUGUAAACCUCUUUCAGUAGGGAAGAAGCGAAAGUGACGGUACCUGCAGGAGAAGCGCCGGCUAACUACGUGC
rnacentral:rRNA from 1 species